CAAUAGCGUAUAUUAAAGUUGUUGCGGUUAAAAAGCUCGUAGUUGGAUUUCUGCUGAGAACGACCGGUCCGCCCUUUGGGUGUGUAUCUGGCUCUUUCUUGGCAUCUUCUUGGUGAACGUUGCUGCACUUGACUGUGUGGAGCGCUACCCAGGACUUUUACUUUGAGGAAAUUAGAGUGUUUCAAGCAGGCAUACGCCUUGAAUACAUUAGCAUGGAAUAAUAAGAUAGGACCUCGGUUCUAUUUUGUUGGUUUCUAGAGCUGAGGUAAUGAUUAAUAGGGAUAGUUGGGGGCAUUCGUAUUUAAUUGUCAGAGGUGAAAUUCUCGGAUUUGUUAAAGACUAACUUAUGCGAAAGCAUUUGCCAAGGAUGUUUUCAUUAA
rnacentral:rRNA from 1 species